rnacentral:misc_RNA from 1 species
AUAUUAUUUCACCGGACAAGUCUUCAAAAUUUUGAAGACAAUCCUUAAUUGUCAUGAAUGAAAAAGCAAGAGUAUUUAUAAGAGGAGAUUGCUUCUCAAUUCUUGUAUGCUUUUAAUCUAGGAUAAAUAUGCAACUUACAAGUAGACAUAUUCAUAAGAGGCGAUGACUCUUCAACUUUAUUUUUUUGUAAACUUUUAAUGUGGGAGUGGGACAACUUAUUCAUAUUUAUGAUAGGAGGGAGAUAGCUAAAUUCUGUGUAACUUGAAAAUUUCAAUGUUCUACUUCUACAUUGACAAUGAACAAGAAUUUUGAGGAAGUUUUUAUUUAUAAAAGGAGCUCUUACCUACUAAAAGGAUAUUGGCUUGGGCUUGUAUGAUGUGUAAUAUUUGAGGUCAUCAAGUUAGUUUCUUUUUUUCUCUCUUUAAAUAUAAUUACUCUUUUUCUUAUUUUUUAAAGAAGUUUUUUGUUCGAACUGAACUGGACCAACGGGGACUGAAUUGGUAGUUUGGGUCCUGUCUGGUUCAUAUUUAGGGUGAAGGGCCCUUAAUCUCCAGAGGUGGGGUGUCCUGGUUUGGAACCAGGAACCAGUGACAGAUUCCAUUUUGUUACUGGCUCUGAACUGGCCUGUGGCCAGGUCUAAUUUAGAGUUUAGAUUCAAAGCAUUUGUCUGAUGACUUUUCAGUCAAAUGAGCAGCCAAUCUGGAGUCGGAAAAGUUCUUCAGCUUAGCCUGUUGUAGGAUACUAGGAUUUCAAGUUGCUCUUUCCAAUUUAUGUUAUUUAUCAACACCAGAGUUCUGCAUAUAUUGAUGAAUUCAAAAGCGUAGUUAUGCGUUCAAAUGUAAAAAAGAGGGAUUGCACUUCUGUUAAAUGGUGGCAAAUACAAACUCUGUUCAUCUAAUUGGCUCUGGAAGCCACAUAUGAUGACUUCAAUUUGUAAUCCUGUAUUUUUCAAGAAUAGGUAACAGCUAACAGCAUCCUUGAAGCUUUUCAUUGAAAAAAAUAAGGUUAGUAUGCUAAUUAUACUGUCCAUUUUUUGGCUAAUGAGUUCCUUUUCAUUUCUGUCAAGGCAUGUGUGUGUGGAAAGCCAAGAACACUUCCAUAGGGAGUGGCACUAGCACAACAAUAGUUGAUACCCAAUCAACUAAGCCUGGAACUGAUGCUCAUCCUCCUGAUGCUGGCCCUGGCAAAAGCUUUAGAAAUUUUAGAUUUGACACUGCUGGAAUCUUGCGAGCAAUGGAAGCUGGGUUUUCUUCCUGACGAUUGGCAAUGGUAACUCUUUGUAGAUGCUCCAUGGUUACAUAGAUGGGUUAGUGUUUCUUAUGUAU